UACGGAGGGUGCAAGCGUUGUCCGGAAUUAUUGGGCGUAAAGGGCGCGCAGGCGGUCCUCUAAGUCUGAUGUGAAAGCCCACGGCUCAACCGUGGAAGGUCAUUGGAAACUGGGGGACUUGAGUGCAGGAGAGGAGAGUGGAAUUCCACGUGUAGCGGUGAAAUACGUAGAGAUGUGGAGGAACACCAGUGGCGAAGGCGACUCUUUGGCCUAUAACUGACGCUGAGGCGCGAAAGCGUGGGGAGCAAACAGG
rnacentral:misc_RNA from 1 species